GUGUGCUAGAUUUAAAAGUUUAUCACAAGUUUUGUGAAAGAUGGGUGCAAAACUCAAAAAAAUACCAUUGUUGAGCUAUUGAAAAAACUUGAAAAUUCAAUUGGAUCUUGUUAAUUUUGAAUUUUUGAACUAAACUCGUAACUCAAUUUUGAUUGACUAGAUAAGAUGCUACUUGAUAAUUUCUUCCUGUUUGUAACUCGAUCUAGAAAGGAAUAGUAAUUACA
rnacentral:lncRNA from 1 species